rnacentral:rRNA from 1 species
UACGUAGGCGGCAAGCGUUGUCCGGAUUUAUUGGGCUUAAAGGGUGCGUAGGCGGUUCCUUAAGUCAGUGGUGAAAUACAGCCGCUUAACGGUUGAGGUGCCAUUGAUACUGGGGAACUUGAGUACAGACGAGGUAGGCGGAAUUGACGGUGUAGCGGUGAAAUGCAUAGAUAUCGUCAAGAACACCGAUAGCGAAGGCAGCUUACUAGACUGUAACUGACGCUGAUGCACGAAAGUGUGGGGAUCAAACAGG